CCUACGGGCGACAGCAGUGAGGAAUAGUGGUCGAUGGGCGCGAGCCUGAACCAGCCAAGUAGCGUGAAGGAUGACUGCCCUACGGGGUGUAAACUUCUUUUAUAAAGGAAUAAAGUGAGGCACGUGUGCCUUUUUGUAUGUACGUUAUGAAUAAGGAUCGGCUAACGCCGUGCCAGCAGCCGCGGUAAUACGGAGGAUCCGAGCGUUCUCCGGAUUUAGUGGGUUUAAAGGGAGCGUCGAUGGGUUGUUAAGUCCGUUGUGAAAGUUUGCGGCUCCACCGUAAAAUUGCAAUUGCUACUGGCAGUCUUGAGUCCAGUUGAGGUAGGCGGUAUUCGUGGUGUAGCGG
rnacentral:rRNA from 1 species